GGACUUCUACUACUGGCUCAACUCAAGUCAAAGGAAAAAGUAGAAAUAACCUGCUUCCUACACAUUCUUUUUUUAAAGCAAAUUUUAGUGGCUGGUUAGGCCAUUUUAUUUAACAGCUAAAAGGAAAGAAGUUUGGCUUAAAGACCCAAAAAAUAAAAUAAAAAUACAACAUCUAUAAAUUGAUUUAGGUCCAUCCCAAUUUCUCCAGGCCCUAUCUAUAUAUUCUGACAAUUCUCCACAAAAGAAGUACUCUUUUUACUUCCUCCUGACCUCCAAAAUGUUGCCUCCUUGUUAUGGAUGGAAUCUUUCUCUACGUUUGCUUCUUCUCUAGUUUAUUUGUGCUCCAGUACCUGAUUUGUUCGUCUUCUCCUUUACGCAUAAGACGUGUCACUCAACCAAGGUGAAUGGUGUUCUAGUGCAAGAAAUCAAAGGAGGAAGCAAUUCGGAGUUUGUUGUCUCCCAAAGGUUUGGAGGAACAAUCUCAUGGCCCGGUGUAGUACUAGAUUUAGUCAGACAUCAUCCAGAGUUUGUGAGCCAUCCAUCUUUCAGUAGGUGGAUUAUUGUAAAUGUAUUUUUUAGUAUUUCUUUUCAUUCCAUGGUAUGGCCGAGGCCUUGUCUCAUCUUAGACAAUUUAGUCUUGUUUAAAGGCUUCGUAGACUAGUUUGACAAUAAUUUUGUUAUGAUGUUUUAUUCAAAGUUUGGGAUCUCCAUUUUUUUUAGAUUUUUAGACUUUCUUGAAUUUCAUUGCAUUUCUGCAAUUCUAUGUAAACUAUGCUUUUGAUAGAAUUCUAAGG